rfam:Ailuropoda melanoleuca scaffold2693_8, whole genome shotgun sequence.
CCAAAGGCUCUUUUCAGAGCCACCACACGCUCUCUGAAAAGACCUGU